rnacentral:rRNA from 1 species
UACGUAGGGUGCGAGCGUUAAUCGGAAUUACUGGGCGUAAAGCGCGCGUAGGUCGCUUAGCAAGUCAGUGGUGAAAGCCCAGGGCUCAACCCUGGAACUGCCAUUGAAACUGCUAAGCUGGAAUCUCAGAGGGGAUAGCGGAAUUCCAAAUGUAGAGGUGAAAUUCGUAGAUAUUUGGAGGGACACCGGUGGCGAAGGCGGCUAUCUGGAUGAGUAUUGACACUGAGGCUCGAAAGUGCGGGGAUCAAACAGG